rnacentral:rRNA from 1 species
UACAGAGGGUGCGAGCGUUAAUCGGAAUUACUGGGCGUAAAGCGUGCGUAGACGGUUAUUUAAGUCGGGUGUGAAAGCCCCGGGCUCAACCUGGGAAUUGCAUUCGAGACUGAAUAGCUAGGGUACGGUAGAGGGAAGUGGAAUUUCCGGUGUAGCGGUGAAAUGCGUAGAUAUCGGAAGGAACAUCAGUGGCUAAAGCGACUUCCUGGACCAGUACCGACGUUCAGGCACGAAAGCGUGGGGAGCAAACAGG